CUCAGCUGGGCCCAAUCGAUAGAGCUAAUCCCUAUCUCCGGACAUGGCAAAAGUCCCAUCUCCGAAACGUCGUGGAUUUUAUGAUUUUAUUUAUUAGACGGUGGAAAAUAUCCAGAAAAAUCUUUACUUGAGGUCAAUAACUUGAAUCUUAACAGAACUACAGUAACAUGCAAUAUGGAGUCAAUUCUACAACUUUAAAUUUACAAAUGUAGAAUAUUAAAAAACCUUUAACCUUUUAAAAUCAUAGUAUCAAGAAUGAAAUGGUGUAUAACAAUGUAGUGUUAAAAUGUAUGGUUUUCUUAGGCUACCAGCCAUGUCACCUGACACGGCUUUAGGGGCAUUAAAAUACAUGUAGGUAAUGUCAACAGAUCAUAGCUUUAUGUGGGGUGCAAUAUCUAUACACUUAAGUUCUGUUCACUUUACAAAGUCAUAAACAUUAAAUAUAUAAGGCAAGUAUUGUAUGUUAGAGUUCAACUACAGUUUUCCACCAGUAACUACAUCUACAUAGUCCACUUUGCUUAAAUAGGGAAGCUGCUUAAGAUAUAGUCCAUUAUGUGGUGAAAUCCACAACAGAAAAUAUUAGCAGUCAUAUCCAUUAAUUUUGAGAAGCACCUGAAGAUGCACAGUUAAAGUCAAAACAUGUAGUGGAUCUUAAUAAACAUUGAAAUUCUAAUAAAAAAUUGCUGUGUAGAUGGACUGUAACUGAACAAUAAAUUUUCUAGAUAUAAACAUCAAAAGGAUGCAGGACUGCAUGCAAUUUGUUGUCUACAGAAAACCAACAGCCACAAACAUAUUGAUUCACAGUAGUUUUUGUCACCUUGCAGAACAAAAAAUGUCAGGUGUGAACUACUUUAUUAGCAGACUAUCCCAAACAGUACACAAUAAAACCGCUGAUAUAUGAAAAAUAGUAAAUAUGCCUAAAAUUAAUAAAUACUGCCAACUUAACAUACAUGAUCAAAUAAAAUGUAUACAGUGACACCCGAAGCCCUAACCAAAUGGAACAAUAACAAUAAAAAAUGGUCUACAGUCACUUACGUUGGUAGGGAAACAAAGUUUUUAACCAAACUGUUCAGUGAUCAACAUAUACACAUAACCUUUUCCACCAGGAAUACAUUAGAGACACAUCUGUAUCCCAAAAGACCAGAAAGAAAAAAGAUCUGUUCAAUAGUGGUGGAGUUCACCAAAACUGUCCAGGAAGAUAAGCUGGCCAAACAGAACAAUCCUUAAUGUCAGAUAUGGUGGACAUGUAAAAGAUAUCACCUCAGCAGGGCUGUAAUACUGAUACUAUAGGAGUUUACUCCAACAAAAUCCACCAGACUUUGCAGUUAUGGUUGACACAAAUGUUGGUCCACAGAAUGAUGCAGCAGCAGCAGCAAUUUACCAAUUAGAAAACAAUAUAUUUUAACAAUACAUUGUUAUACACCAUUUUACUCUUGAUAUCAUGAUUUUAAAAGGUGAAAGAUUUCUUAACAUCUAUAUUUGUGAAUUAAAAAUUUCAGAAUUGACUCCAUAUUGCAUGUCACUAUAGCAGUUUAGUUACAGUUCAAGUUAUUGACAGAAAGAUGAUGGAAUAAGGUUGAAACAUGUCAUAUUUCAUCAUCAUACCUAUAAUAUGAGUACUGUAAAACCAAACAAUUAAAAGAAUAAGAAGUGCCAGUAAGAUGAUUAUUUUUUAGUUGUAUGUUGUCUGAUGAUAAAAUACACUGUACUUCUAAUAUGCCAGUGGCUCAUGCAUGAUGGAAUACAGUUUGCAAUGAAUUUUGUUGCAGGUGCUACGUGGUGAAGGUUCUUGUUUUCAAAACAGAUUUUUUAUUAGUCUGCUAAUAUAGGUGCUCUUUUUAUAAAUAUUGUUGCUCCCUGAGUAUUCUUCCACAUAAAAGUGUUACUAGCAUAGACAAUUAAUUGUGUAGUCAUAAAAUUGGAUCUCAGAAUAUACAACUGACACUUGAAUUGUUUCUUGCAGGACAGAUUACCUGUUCUUUGGAUUGGACGAUAUUCAUUUUCUGAGAGACAUGACAGAAAUGAACAAUUUAUUUCAGUACAGCUGAAUGAAAAUGUCAGUGUUUCAUACUUUUGUAAGCAAAUCUGCUGCCACCUCAGACUGAAUUAUGCAAGUUCUUUCUGUUGUUCCAGUCACAGUCCAGAAGCUAUUCUUACCAGUUAGGUACAUUAAUACAGAAAAUAUCUGUACAGACUGCAAAUGCCUGAAAUGUAGACUACUGGCAAAAUCAUCUCCCCCUUAUUUAUUUUUAGAGGGGAGGGGGAUGUGAUUUAACAUUCUAUAUCCAGAAGAAAUCUGGUUUAGAAGAGACUAGUGUGGAAAGAACUGGAGUGUAUACAUUCUGAAAUUGAAUUUAUAAAUUAGUUUAAGUUAGUCACCAACAUUUUCAUGUACCUUUUUUUUUUUAAAGCUUUUGUUUUCAGUGCUAGUCCAAAUAAACUUAUAAAUCUGCAGUACAUAGAACUGGAGGUUUGAGUAUAUUACUUUACCACUACUAUUACUGGAUAUGACAUACAGGUCUGCACAGUAUUUGAGGUAAAACAAUCCAACACAUACCUUUCUUCUACAACAUUCACAUAUUGAUCCCUGUCCUGAACUUUGCCUGUUCUGCAAUUCUUUUAAAAGUAUUAAUGUUGUGGAGACUAGAAUCAUACUUUGCAGCUGCAGUAACGAAAAACCUUAUUUUUGUGACACUGCAGAAAGAUUCCACAGAGCUUGCAGAUGAAGAAAUUAAUGAAAAAGUAAUGGCUGGCUUCAACCUGUGUCAUGUAAUCAAGAUAUGUCCAGUUUUGGUCACUUGAUGAGAAUAGCUUCUGAUACUGUCCAACAGAGCAGAGUUGGUGGGGACGGCAUCAGAUGCUGUCAGAAUGUGAACAUGUGAUGUGUGGACACAGAACCACUGUCCUAGGAAGACCAAGCAAGUGACUACAAAGUGAACUGCAAGUAUGCACAUAGAAGCAGUGGAUUCACAAUCAUACAGACAGGGGACUUCAGGGUAAGAUUAAAACAAAACAAGAAAAGACAUCAGAAGAGAGAAAUGGGAAGAC